rnacentral:rRNA from 1 species
CCUACGGGAGGCAGCAGUGAGGAAUAUUGGUCAAUGGGCGGAAGCCUGAACCAGCCAAGUAGCGUGCAGGAUGACGGCCCUACGGGUUGUAAACUGCUUUUAUACGGGAAUAACGCGCCUUACGUGUAGGGCUUUGCAUGUACCGUAUGAAUAAGGACCGGCUAAUUCCGUGCCAGCAGCCGCGGUAAUACGGAGGGUCCGGGCGUUAUCCGGAUUUAUUGGGUUUAAAGGGAGCGUAGGCCGGAUGUCAAGCGUGCUGUGAAAUGUUCGGGCUCAACCCGGGCCUUGCAGCUGGAACUGGAGUGCUUGAGUGUGCGGAAAGCAGGCGGAAUGCGUGGUGUAGCGGUGAAAUGCUUAGAUAUGACGAAGAACCCCGAUUGCGAAGGCAGCUUGCUGCAGCGGAACUGACGCUGAUGCACGAAAGCGUGGGUAUCGAACAGGAUUAGAUACCCGUGUAGUC